rnacentral:rRNA from 1 species
GAAUGCUGACAUAAGUAACGAUAAAGCGGGUGAAAAGCCCGCUCGCCGGAAGACCAAGGGUUCCUGUCCAACGUUAAUCGGGGCAGGGUGAGUCGACCCCUAAGGCGAGGCCGAAAGGCGUAGUCGAUGGGAAACGGGUUAAUAUUCCCGUACUUGGUGUUACUGCGAAGGGGGGACGGAGAAGGCUAUGUUGGCCGGGCGACGGUUGUCCCGGUUUAAGCGUGUAGGUGUGUGUUCCAGGUAAAUCCGGUUCACUUUAACACUGAGGCGUGACGACGAGGCACUACGGUGCUGAAGCAACAAAUGCCCUGCUUCCAGGAAAAGCCUCUAAGCAUCAGGUAACAUCAAAUCGUACCCCA